GGAGAGCUGGCCGAGUGGUCGAAGGCGCACGACUGGAAAUCGUGUAAACGUCAAAAGCGUUUCGAGGGUUCAAAUCCCUCGCUCUCCG
rnacentral:tRNA from 1 species